rnacentral:rRNA from 1 species
UACGUAGGGGGCAAGCGUUGUCCGGAAUCAUUGGGCGUAAAGCGCGUGUAGGCGGUUCGGUAAGUCUGCUGUGAAAGUCCAGGGCUCAACCCUGGGAUGCCGGUGGAUACUGUCGGACUAGAGUACGGAAGAGGCGAGUGGAAUUCCACGUGUAGCAGUGAAAUGCGUAGAGAUGUGGAGGAACACCGAUGGCGAAGGCAGCCCCCUGGGCUGAGAUUGACGCUCAGGCACGAAAGCGUGGGGAGCAAACAGG